rnacentral:rRNA from 1 species
GAUGAACGCUAGCGGCAGGCUUAAUACAUGCAAGUCGAGGGACAGCACAGGUAGCAAUACUGGGUGGUAACCGGCAAACGGGUGCGGAACACGUACACAACCUUCCUUUAAGUGGGGGAUAGCCCAGAGAAAUUUGGAUUAAUACCCCGUAAUAUAGUUGAAUGGCAUCAUUUGAUCAUUAUAGCUACGGCGCUUAAUGAUGGGUGUGCGGCUGAUUAGAUAGUUGGCGGGGUAACGGCCCACCAAGUCUACGAUCAGUAGCUGAUGUGAGGCAAUGAUCAGCCACACGGGCACUGAGACACGGGCCCGACUCCUACGGGAGGAAGCAGUAAGGAAUAUUGGUCAAUGGACGCAAGUCUGAACCAGCCAUGCCGCGUGAAGGAUUAAGGUCCUCUGGAUUGUAAACUUCUUUUAUUUGGGACGAAAAAGGGCCUUUCUAGGUCAACUGACGGUACCAGAUGAAUAAGCACCGGCUAACUCCGUGCCAGCCGCCGCCGUAACAC